rnacentral:rRNA from 1 species
UACGGAGGGGGCUAGCGUUGUCCGGAAUUAUUGGGCGUAAAGAGCGUGUAGGCGGUCCGGUAAGUCCGCUGUGAAAGCCGGGGGCUCAACCCUCGAAUGCCGGUGGAUACUGUCGGGCUAGAGUACGGAAGAGGCGAGUGGAAUUCCUGGUGUAGCGGUGGAAUGCGCAGAUAUCAGGAGGAACACCGAUAGCGAAGGCAGCUCGCUGGGCCGUUACUGACACUGAGGCGCGAAAGCGUGGGGAGCGAACAGG